UCUCUGAAACCAUUGCCCAACGCGCAAUUUCAUGAGCCAAGUCUUUCCCAACUCUCGCAAUAUGGUGAAUCGAAAUUACACCGGCGUCUGAAGCACGAGUUUUCGCCUCGUUGAUCAACCAUCGAAUCUUAGUGAGGUCUUCAGCAUCUCCAUUCAGCAAACGAACGACCUCGAGGGAGUCCGAUUCAGCUAUACUCGGCUAUAAAGAGACAACCUGCACGCCCAGUUUGACCAUCCCAAUCUCGAAUCACCCAACCGAUUCCUCCUGUUCCGAGACCAUCAUUCCAGAGCGGCGUUGUUUAACAAUUGUUGAUCAUUGUGUAUCUUGCAAGCAUUUGUCAGUUUGAUCUCAA